AGGACAAACGUUGGCGGUGCGUCUUAGACAUGCAAGUCGAGCGUGAAAGCCCGCAAGGGUGAGUAAAGCGGCGAACGGGUGAGUAAUACUUGGGUAACGUCCCUUCAAGAUUGGGAUAACGCGCCGAAAGGCGUGCUAAUACCGGAUAAGACCACGACUCCUUCGGGGGUUGGGGUCAAAGAUGGCCUCUAUUUAUAAGCUAUCACUUGAAGAUCGGCUCAAGCACCAUUAGCUAGUUGGCGGGGUAAUGGCCCACCAAGGCUACGAUGGUUAGCCGGCCUGAGAGGGUGAUCGGCCACACUGGGACUGAGAUACGGCCCAGACUCCUACGGGAGGCAGCAGUUUGGAAUAUUCCACAAUGGGCGAAAGCCUGAUGGAGCGACACCGCGUGAAGGAUGAAGGUCUUCGGGUUGUAAACCCCUUUCAGCAGGGACGAAGCGAAGUGACGGUACCUGCAGAAGAGCGCCGGCUAACGUACGUGCCAGCAGCCGC
rnacentral:rRNA from 1 species